GAUGAACGCUGGCGGCGUGCCUAAUACAUGCAAGUCGAGCGAAUAGACGAGGAGCUUGCUCCUCUGACGUUAGCGGCGGACGGGUGAGUAACACGUGGAUAACCUACCUAUAAGACUGGGAUAAGUUCGGGAAACCGGAGCUAAUAUCGGAUAAUAUAGUGAACCGCAUGGUUCAAUAGUGAAAGACGGUUUUGCUGUGACUUAUAGAUGGAUCCACGCCGCAUUAGCUAGUUGGUAAGGUAACGGCUUACCAAGGCAACGAUGCGUAGCCGACCUGAGAGGGUGAUCAGCCACACUGGAACUGAGACACGGUCCAGACUCCUACGGGAGGCAGCAGUAGGGAAUCUUCCGCAAUGGGCGAAAGCCUGACGGAGCAACGCCGCGUGAGUGAUGAAGGUCUUCGGAUCGUAAAGCUCUGUUAGUUGGGAAGAACAAAUGUGAAAGUAACUAUGCACGUCUUGACGGUACCUAAUCAGAAAGCCACGGCUAACUACGUG
rnacentral:rRNA from 1 species